rnacentral:rRNA from 1 species
GGCGAACGGGUGAGUAACACGUGGGCAACCUGCCCUCAGCUCUGGGAUAACUCCAAGAAAUUGGGGCUAAUACCGGAUAUGACUGCUGACCGCAUGGUCUGGUGGUGGAAAGAUUUAUCGGCUGGGGAUGGGCCCGCGGCCUAUCAGCUUGUUGGUGGGGUAGUGGCCUACCAAGGCGACGACGGGUAGCCGGCCUGAGAGGGUGACCGGCCACACUGGGACUGAGACACGGCCCAGACUCCUACGGGAGGCAGCAGUGGGGAAUAUUGCGCAAUGGGCGGAAGCCUGACGCAGCGACGCCGCGUGGGGGAUGACGGCCUUCGGGUUGUAAACCUCUUUCAGCAGGGACGAAGCGGAAGUGACGGUACCUGCAGAAGAAGCACCGGCCAACUACGUGCCAGCAGCCGCGGUAAUACGUAGGGUGCAAGCGUUGUCCGGAAUUAUUGGGCGUAAAGAGCUCGUAGGCGGUUUGUUGCGUCGGCUGUGAAAUCCCGAGGCUCAACCUCGGGUCUGCAGUCGAUACGAGCAAACUAGAGUGUUGCAGGGGAGACUGGAAUUCCUGGUGUAGCGGUGAAAUGCGCAGAUAUCAGGAGGAACACCGGUGGCGAAGGCGGGUCUCUGGGCAACAACUGACGCUGAGG